GAUGAACGCUAGCGACAGGCUUAACACAUGCGAGUCGAGGGGCAGCACAGGUAGCAAUACCGGGUGGCGACCGGCGCACGGGUGAGUAACGCGUAUGCAACUUACCUAUCAGAGGGGGAUAACCCGGCGAAAGUCGGACUAAUACCGCAUGAAGCAGGGGUCCCGCAUGGGGAUAUUUGCUAAAGAUUCAUCGCUGAUAGAUAGGCAUGCGUUCCAUUAGGCAGUUGGCGGGGUAACGGCCCACCAAACCGACGAUGGAUAGGGGUUCUGAGAGGAAGGUCCCCCACAUUGGUACUGAGACACGGACCAAACUCCUACGGGAGGCAGCAGUGAGGAAGAUUGGUCAAGGGCCGAGAGGCUGAACCAGCCAAGUCGCGUGAGGGAUGAAGGUUCUAUGGAUCGUAAACCUCUUUUAUAAGGGAAUAAAGUGCGGGACGUGUCCCGUUUUGUAUGUACCUUAUGAAUAAGGAUCGGCUAACUCCGUG
rnacentral:rRNA from 1 species